rnacentral:rRNA from 1 species
UACGUAGGGGGCAAGCGUUAUCCGGAUUUACUGGGUGUAAAGGGAGCGUAGACGGCAAUGCAAGUCUGGAGUGAAAGGCGGGGGCCCAACCCCCGGACUGCUCUGGAAACUGUAUAGCUGGAGUGCAGGAGAGGUAAGUGGAAUUCCUAGUGUAGCGGUGAAAUGCGUAGAUAUUAGGAGGAACACCAGUGGCGAAGGCGGCUUACUGGACUGUAACUGACGUUGAGGCUCGAAAGCGUGGGGAGCGAACAGG